UUCCAGACUCCUACGGGAGGCAGCAGUGGGGAAUAUUGCACAAUGGGGGAAACCCUGAUGCAGCAACGCCGCGUGAGUGAAGAAGUCAUUCGUGAUGUAAAGCUCUAUCAGCAGGGAAGAAAAUGACGGUACCUGAGUAAGAAGCCCCGGCUAACUACGUGCCAGCAGCCGCGGUAAUACGUAGGGGGCAAGCGUUAUCCGGAUUUACUGGGUGUAAAGGGAGCGUAGACGGCCAGACAAGUCUGAAGUGAAAGCCCGGGGCCCAACCCCGGGACUGCUCUGGAAACUGCGUCGCUGGAGUACGGGAGGGGCAGGCGGAAUUCCUGGUGUAGCGGUGAAAUGCGUAGAUAUCAGGAGGAACACCGGCGGCGUAGGCGGCCUGCUGGACCGUGACUGACGUUGAGGCUCGAGAGCGUGGGGAGCAAACAGGAUUAGAUACCCUGGUAA
rnacentral:rRNA from 1 species